rnacentral:rRNA from 1 species
AACGAACGCUGGCGGCAUGCCUAACACAUGCAAGUCGAACGAGACCUUCGGGUCUAGUGGCGCACGGGUGCGUAACGCGUGGGAACCUGCCCUUAGGUUCGGAAUAACUCCCCGAAAGGGGUGCUAAUACCGGAUAAUGUCUUCGGACCAAAGAUUUAUCGCCUUUGGAUGGGCCCGCGUUGGAUUAGCUAGUUGGUAGGGUAAAAGCCUACCAAGGCGACGAUCCAUAGCUGGUCUGAGAGGAUGAUCAGCCACACUGGGACUGAGACACGGCCCAGACUCCUACGGGAGGCAGCAGUGGGGAAUAUUGGACAAUGGGCGAAAGCCUGAUCCAGCAAUGACGCGUGAGUGAUGAAGGCCUUAGGGUUGUAAAGCUCUUUUACCCGGGAUGAUAAUGACAGUACCGGGAGAAUAAGCGCCGGCUAACUCCGUG